rnacentral:lncRNA from 1 species
AACUAUCCACAUGCUCUUGUUUGAUACAAGAUUAACAAACUCAUGAUCACUGAUGAUAACAAGAUCAUCAAUAGUAGCAGUAGUAAUACAAUCUUAAUCAUGAUCUUCAUGGUCUCUUUGUUUAGACCUACCUUUCUUUCCUUUAUUAUCUCUUUUCCACUGAUACCAAUACUUCUGUACGUGUCGUAUUUUUUGACAAUAAGGACACUCCAGAUUCUUGUAUCGCUGCUUGGACUUGCUUAUGCUAUUAU